rnacentral:rRNA from 1 species
CUCGUAGGCGGUUCGUCGCGUCCGGUGUGAAAGUCCAUCGCUUAACGGUGGAUCCGCGCCGGGUACGGGCGGGCUUGAGUGCGGUAGGGGAGACUGGAAUUCCCGGUGUAACGGUGGAAUGUGUAGAUAUCGGGAAGAACACCAAUGGCGAAGGCAGGUCUCUGGGCCGUUACUGACGCUGAGGAGCGAAAGCGUUGGGAGCGAACA